CUUCUAUUUUUUUUCAGGCUAAAUCUACCCAAGACACUGGCUGUCAGACUGAUUUAGUAAUCUGCAAGAAUUACUAGCUGACGUGGUGUUACCCGUAGCAAAGAGCUCACAGCCUCAGUGUCUUGUGACACAGGGACCAUGACAGAAAUUCAUCUUCCAGAAGGUCCCAGAGCAUCCACACCUCCUGAAAAGACCACGGUGUGAGGUGUCUGCUGUUGAUUCCAGCUUCCACCUCAGUGACAGUGCAAGCUCAGUGAACUGUUCAAGGAGGCUACUGAUUCUGGCCCUGUGACACUUGGUGGUCACCACCAGGUGGUGACGUGUGAGCUGAUUCACCUGGUAAAUAACUUUUAAAUUAAAUAUUUUGUUUUUGCUAUCAAAAGUAAAUUAACUAAUAACC